rnacentral:rRNA from 1 species
UCGCAUGGUGGUUGGUGGAAAGCUUUUUGUGGUUUUGGAUGGACUCGCGGCCUAUCAGCUUGUUGGUGAGGUAAUGGCUUACCAAGGCGACGACGGGUAGCCGGCCUGAGAGGGUGACCGGCCACACUGGGACUGAGACACGGCCCAGACUCCUACGGGAGGCAGCAGUGGGGAAUAUUGCACAAUGGGCGCAAGCCUGAUGCAGCGACGCCGCGUGAGGGAUGACGGCCUUCGGGUUGUAAACCUCUUUCAGUAGGGAAGAAGCGAAAGUGACGGUACCUGCAGAAGAAGCGCCGGCUAACUACGUGCCAGCAGCCGCGGUAAUACGUAGGGCGCAAGCGUUAUCCGGAAUUAUUGGGCGUAAAGAGCUCGUAGGCGGUUUGUCGCGUCUGCCGUGAAAGUCCGGGGCUCAACUCCGGAUCUGCGGUGGGUACGGGCAGACUAGAGUGAUGUAGGGGAGACUGGAAUUCCUGGUGUAGCGGUGAAAUGCGCAGAUAUCAGGAGGAACACCGAUGGCGAAGGCAGGUCUCUGGGCAUUAACUGACGCUGAGGAGCGAAAGCAUGGGGAGCGAACAGGAUUAGAUACCCUGGUAGUCCAUGCCGUAAACGUUGGGCACUAGGUGUGGGGGACAUUCCACGUUUUCCGCGCCGUAGCUAACGCAUUAAGUGCCCCGCCUGGGGAGUACGGCCGCAAGGCUAAAACUCAAAGGAAUUGACGGGGGCCCGCACAAGCGGCGGAGCAUGCGGAUUAAUUCGAUGCAACGCGAAGAACCUUACCAAGGCUUGACAUGAACCGGAAAGACCUGGAAACAGGUGCCCCGCUUGCGGUCGGUUUACAGGUGGUGCAUGGUUGUCGUCAGCUCGUGUCGUGAGAUGUUGGGUUAAGUCCCGCAACGAGCGCAACCCUCGUUCUAUGUUGCCAGCACGUGAUGGUGGGGACUCAUAGGAGACUGCCGGGGUCAACUCGGAGGAAGGUGGGGACGACGUCAAAUCAUCAUGCCCCUUAUGUCUUGGGCUUCACGCAUGCUACAA